GAGUUUGAUCGUGGCUCAGGAUGAACGCCGGCGGUGUGCCUAAUACAUGCAAGUCGUACGCACUGGCCCAACUGAUUAAUGGUGCUUGCACCUGAUUGACGAUGGAUCACCAGUGAGUGGCGGACGGGUGAGUAACACGUAGGUAACCUGCCCCGGAGCGGGGGAUAACAUUUGGAAACAGAUGCUAAUACCGCAUAACAACAAAAGCCACAUGGCUUUUGUUUGAAAGAUGGCUUUGGCUAUCACUCUGGGAUGGACCUGCGGUGCAUUAGCUAGUUGGUAAGGUAACGGCUUACCAAGGCGAUGAUGCAUAGCCGAGUUGAGAGACUGAUCGGCCACAAUGGAACUGAGACACGGUCCAUACUCC
rnacentral:rRNA from 1 species